GGGAGAACGAGGUGCCCCUGGUCCCACUGGCAAAGAUGGUAUCCCAGGCCUGCCAGGGCUUCAAGGACCCCCUGGAGCUGCAGGGCCUUCUGGAGAGGAAGGAGACAAGGGAGAAGUAGGGAUGCCUGGUCAUAAGGGAAGCAAAGGGGAUAAAGGAGAUGCGGGCCCUCCCGGACCAAUAGGGAUAAGGGGUCCAGCAGGCCAUCCAGGACCUCCGGGUGCUGAUGGGGCUCAGGGUCGCCGGGGACCCCCUGGCCUCUUUGGGCAAAAGGGAGACGAUGGAGUUCGAGGCUUUGUAGGUGUAAUUGGUCCUCCAGGUCUGCAGG